GCUUAGCCUUAAACCUCAGUAGUUAAACAACAAAACUACUCGCCAGAAUACUACAAGCAACAGCUUGAAACUCAAAGGACUUGGCGGUGCUUUAGACCCCUCUAGAGGAGCCUGUUCUAUAAUCGAUAAACCCCGAUCCACCCCACCCUCUCUUGCUCAGCCUAUAUACCGCCAUCUUCAGCAAACCCUGAUAAAGGUUAUAAAGUGUGCGAAAACGCCUUCCCCGCAAAAACGUUAGGUCAAGGUGUAGCCUAUGGGACGGUAAAAAAUGGGCUACAUUUUCUACCCCAGAAAACCCCACGAUAACUCUUAUGAAACCUAAGAGUCCAAGGAGGAUUUAGCAGUAAAUUAAGAAUAGAGUGCUUAAUUGAACCAGGCCAUGAAGCACGC
rnacentral:rRNA from 1 species